UACGUAGGGGGCGAGCGUUGUCCGGAUUCAUUGGGCGUAAAGAGCUCGUAGGCGGCUUGGCAAGUCGGGUGUGAAAACUUCAGGCUCAACCUGGAGCGGCCACUCGAUACUGCCAUGGCUUGAGUCCGGUAGGGGACCACGGAAUUCCUGGUGUAGCGGUGAAAUGCGCAGAUAUCGGGAGGAACACCAGUGGCGAAGGCGACUACCUGGCCUGUUCUUGACGCUGAGGCGCGAAAGCUAGGGGAGCAAACGGG
rnacentral:rRNA from 1 species